GCAGGGGUUCUUCUUGCCUGAUGUCAAGGAAAGCCCAGAGGUGAGAAGAGGCUAGAAAGGUUUCUGGGUAAAGACCAGUGGAGGAGGAGGGAGUUCCCCCUGUGCUGAGGACCCCCUGUGCUGAGGGGGUUGGAUGGGUGGGAGGAAAGAGACAUUGCUAUUGGGUCUCUUCCCCUCUGGUGUCAUCAGAACACUUAGCUCCAACCUCCUUGCCAGAAGUCUCUAAGUUCCUGGGCUUGCUUUGAUGUUUUCUCUAGCCCAUAAGCUUUUCCCCUGUGGCAAAGUAAGAAGAAAAGGACUGUCCUGUUUCUGAAGAACAAAGUGCUUAUUAUUCCUGACUUUUGGAGAACAGAGGGUCCACCACUCUCAUCCCACACAUGGGAGCCCAGCAGGCCACGUACAUAGAGGCCUCCCACCAAAGUGCCAAGCUGAGAAUCAAAGCCCUCUGCAUGGACUCCCCAUGGUCCCUGUCAUCAGCUCACUCCUGUCACACCGACACCCCUCACCUGUGAUCUUAGGCCCUGUCAGAGUCCACGCCGUCCUGGAAGUUUGUUCAUGCUGACUCUGAAAGCUCCGACUUGGCAGGUUGGGCUUGACACCAAAACCCUGCCUUGAGGGCCCCAGAGCCUCGCUGGCCUCCUAUCAUCUGCCCCUACUUCAACCUGAGAGGAGGAGAAGGAGGAGGAAGAGGAGGAGGAGGAGGAGAAGGACCCGUGCUCACUGGAGCCCGCCAGUCCCAGCCCUUGACUUCCACAGGCCUCUCAGCCUUGUCUCCCUGCAGGGCACUUCCCAGGCCUGGGGCUUCCUCCUAGAACAGCCCUGGAGAGCAGGAGAGGGGAGUCAGAACGCACAGAGGGGAGUGCGCCAGGGUCCGCAGUAUGAUCACAGAAAUAGUAAGGGGCGAGGCUGCAGAGAGACGUGGUGUUCUUCAUUCACAGCCCUGUAAACUGGCACUUUCUGACAGCACAAACCAGAGUCCCAAACUGAAUCCAUCUUCCCUACAACUUGCUGGUCUUCCUGGGUUAUCUGUCUCAAUUUCCUCAGGGUCCUAUGCAAGAAACCUCAGAGUAAUCUAGACCCCUCGGCCUCUCUAACCCCAACCCCUGGGGGGCUUUCCUGCAUGGUGGUUAAGAUGGAGGCUCCCCAGUGAAAGACAUCAGGAGUCAGACCCUGGCUCUGCAGCUUACAUGCUGCAUCCACCAGUCUAAGUUUAUCAAACCACUUACACUUCCAUUUAUUCAUCUGUUCGUGAGAAUAGUAUUUCAUACCUCAUGGUGGUGUAAACAUUUAUUAAGAUGUAUUUUAAGAGGGUGGUGCCUGGAGCUCAGUGAGUAGGGCACCGGCUCCAUAUACCGAGAGUGGAGGGUUCAAACCCGGCCCCAGCCAAACUGCAACAACAAAAAAAAUAGCCGGGUGUUGUGGCAGGAGCCUGUGGUCCCAGCUACUCGGGAGGCUGAGGCAAGAGAAUCGCCUAAGCCCAAGAGCUGGAGGUUGCUGUGAGCUGCGACGCAACAGCACUCUGCCAAGAGUGACAAAGUGAGACUCUGUCUCUAAAAAAAAACAAGAUGUAUUUUAAGAGCUUUUAGUGCAGUGCUUAGCAUAUAGUGAAUACUCAAUAUGACAUGAGUCCAGCCAUCAUGCAGCCCUGACACUCUUCUCUACAACUCUUCCUAAGCCUGUCUCUUCCAUUCCUAUGUCUUUUCCUGCUCAGGCUAUUUUCUCUCCUGAACAUCACAUUUUCUAACUCCAGUAAGGCCCAGCCAAAUCUAUCGUUUACGUAGGUGCCAGGGAAAAAACAUGUAGCCCCUUCCUUUGUCAAAAACUCAGAAGUAGCUUCUGUAGCCUAAACUACAUCUCCUAGGACAUAAGCCCGUCCAUGAUCGUGCUCUUGCCCACGUCUGCAGCUGCAUCUCCCUCCCUGUCCUGCUUCGCAGCUUGUGCCCCCACUCUUCUCCCUGCUGUGCUAUCCCUCUACCUGGAAUGCUGCUCUUCCCCCUCCUUUCUCUUUCACCCCAUCCAUUCGACAGAGCUAACUCAACCCAGAGGUUCCACUUACAAAGCCCCUGCUUAGAAGACCUCCCCAGGAAGUAUGCACAGUCAUACAGUGCAGAGAGAGCCCACACAGGCAGGUGGUUCAAUAAGACACCACUGAGCGGGUGGUGCCUGACUUGGCUGACUCAAGUCUUUGCUUUGAGGAAACCAGCCACAUUAUGGUCCCUCCCUGGCCCUUCAAGGCUGCAGCUUUCCUAAGAAGAGAAAGGGAUUUUAUUUCUCUAUUUUUUUUUGAGACAGUCUCACUUUGUUGCCCUCGGUGUAGUGCCGCGGCAUCACAGCUCACGGCAACCUCAAACUCUUGAGCUGAAGUGAUUCUCUUGCCUCAGCCUCCCCAGACACCCAUCACAAUGCCUGGCUAUUUUUAGAGACGGGGUCUCACUCUUGCUCAGGCUGGUCUCAAACUCUGAGCUCAAGCAAUGUACCUCUCUUGGCUUCCCAGAGUGCUAGGAUUACAAGUGUGAGCCACCACAUCCAGCCUGAGAAAGGGCUUUUUGAUGCUUCUUGGUUCUCCUAGUCCUUUGUUUCCCAGCUUGCCCAUCACCACUCUUCACUCCCCAACCCACCCUUACUCACCUCUUCACACAUGAUUAAGGAAACUGAACAGCACAUUGUGGAGGAUUUCAGACUUAAUAUUACUUGACCUGUUAAGAUUCUCUUCUGUAAAACUUAUAGACUCAUAAAUGUGUAAGAAUAAAAUGAGACAGCAAGCAUGCAAGUGCUUUUAAUAAUUAAUAUAUAAAUGGAUGACUAGAUAAUGGUCUUCCCGGUUCUAUACUAACUCACUUUUCACAUCUACAAAGCCUCUUUUAGUCCCCAAGCAAGCCUUGUGACAGCACCUUCAUCCAUUCCCACGCCUGCUCUGCCAAUCUAGAGCUCCCUCAAACUUCUGGCUUAGCAUUCAUCUCCAUGAAGUUUUUUAUGAUUACUUUAAAACAAUUUUUUUUUUUGAGAUACCCUGGGUGUCUCCCUGGGUUGAGAGCUGUGACACCAUCAUAGCUCACUGAAACCUCCCUACUGUAAUCCUAACACUUUGGGAGGCCAGGGAAGUUGGAUUGCUUGAGCUCAGGAGUUCAAGACCAGGCUGAACAAGAGCUAACCAUCUCUGUGACUUGAUGGUGAUCCUACUUAGGACUGAGAUCAUUCAGGAGCAGAGUGAAUGCCUGCUAUAAGUUGAAUCAGUUAGCAUCAUACGCAAGGUACUAUAUGUUAUGUCAUAUGAGAUUUAUCAGAAACAAAGAGAGAGGGAAAUUAACAGGUAGUCCUAGUUUUCUGAGAAUUGACAGUCUAAAUUGGAGGAAGACAAUAAAUAGGUAUGAGGUAUGACAACUAAGUUCACGAACUCAUUCUAGAAAAAGUGCUACAUACCUCAUUGCUGAAUAUCACUACAACCACUUUCAAAAGUCUCCCCUUGAGAACCUAUGUACCAAUACUAGUGCCUAGUCCACCCUUCAAAGCAAUUUUGGAACUCCUUUUUUUUUUUUUUUGAGACAGAGCCUCAAGCUGUCACCCUGGGUAGCGUGCUGUGACAUCGCAGCUCACAGCAACCUCCAACUCCUGGGCUCAAGCAAUUCUCCUUCCUCCAUCUCCCAAGUAGCUGGGACUACAGGUGCCCACCACAGCACCUGGCUAUUUUUUUGGUUGCAGCCGUCAUUGUUGUUUGGCAGGCCUGGGCUGGAUUCAAAACCACCAGCUCAGAUGUAUGUGGCUGGCGCCUUAGCUGCUUGAGCCACAGGUGCCAAGCCUUGUUUUUUGUUUUUUUAACACAGAGUAUCACUCUGUCAUCCUGGGUAGAAUGCCUUGGCAUCAGCCUAGCUCACAGCAAACUCAAACUUUUGGUUUCAAAUGAUCCUUCUGCCUCAGCCUCCCAAGUAGCUGACAUGACAGGCUGGUCUCAAACUCCUGAGCUCAGAGUGCUAGGAUUACAGGUAUGACCCACCAUACCUGGCUGAUUUUAGAACUCUUUUUCUGGAAUGGCCAACACAGCUGUCAUCAUAUUGUCUUAUCAAAAUGUCUUCCUUUCGGGGCUUCAUCCCAGCUGAGGAGCAAAGAGCCGCUGGCAGCCGCAGAUCUCACCACAGCUCAGGGUUUUUAGAAUUUCAGUUAUAAAAAUGGGCAGAAUUUUCCUUGAUCAUAUUGGUAGUACCCAACUGUUUUCUUGUGCAAACUUGUGAUAUGAUUCUGACCAACCAGUCAGAACUCAUCUCCACUCGGUUCACAGGCACUACUGGCAGGACAUUUCUUUUUAACAAGGUAGUUAACCUGCAAUAUAGUGAAGUUCAAGAUUGGGUCACGCUCACUAGCUGCCACUUGGUUCAAGAUGUGAGCUGCAAAAACUGCAAUAGCAAACCGGGAUGGAUCUAUGAGUUUGCCCCUGAAGACAGCCAGCGUUAUAAGGAAGCCCAUGUGAUCCUGGAACGUGCUCUAGUUCGAGAGAGUGAGGGCUUUGAGGAGUAUGUACCAUCUGAUAACUCUUGAAGAAAAAGAGAGAAAUCCAUCUUUUCUCAGGUCUCCUUCACUGAAAACAAAAAUCUGCUUACAUACACUGUCAUCUUAGCAUCAGAGUCGGAUUCAUGAACUGUCCGCAGAGGUUGUGAGAAUCCAAGAUGGAACCUUUCUUUCUUUCUUUUUUUUUUUAAUUUUGUAUUUUCCAUCCAACAGCAGUGUGUAGAGAGAAUAUUAUGCAGAUGCCAUUAAUUUUUUUCCCCCAUGUUUACAUCUUGAGGAAAAAAAGAUGUAAACACAUCUUACAUAGCUGCAGCUAUGUGGUGGGCUAUGUAAGGAAAAAUAGCUGAGCUAUUAGAGUGAAGAAGUGUAUUCUAUGUAAAUUUUGAAAGGAAAAUAUGUCAAAAGCAUGGUUUUUAAACUUGGGCUUCAUUUUAAAACUUUUUUUUUUAACCCAGUUAUUUCACUUGAUUUGCUAGCUUCAGAGAAGAGAUCCAAAUCUGUGCCCAGAGCUAAAGGCUCAGUGUUAGCAUGGCUUGUGCUGGCCAGCAUGCCAUAUUCUUGUUGGAGAUGAACCAUAGCACCAGAGCCCAUUCUUCCCUGUCAGUCUUGACCCAAAGAUGUCACCAUUCCUAGUUAUUUGUUACCACAUAAUUGGUGUUGAUUGGAAACUUUUCUGAAAUGGGCAGAAUUGCUUGGUUGUCUUUUUUCCAUGUAACUUAAACAUAGUAAUAUAAAUAAAGUAAUAGUUGGA